AUGAAGUGGCAAACCAUAUUUGGAACAAAGAUCUUUAAAACCGCAGAGGUCUUUGAAGAUCUUUGUUCCAAAUAUGGUUUGACACUUAACAACCUCUUUUGCUACUGUCAAGUCAGGCACUGCAUUCAUACUCAUUUUGAGGCUUACAAGUGGAGCAGUGGUCUAAGGCACUGCAUCUCAGUGCUAGAGGCGUCACUACAGACCCUGGUUAGAUUCCAGGCUGUAUCACAACCGGCUGCGAUUUGGAAUCCCAUAGGGCAGCGCACAAUUGGCCCCGCGUCGUUAGGGUUUGGCCGUGGUAGGCUGUCAUUAUAAAUGAGAAUUUGUUCUUAACUGACUUAAGUUAAAUAGCUAAUAAAUAUCCUUAUUUUCCCAACCUGUCGGUGGCAUUGUCAUGGAACAAACUGCUUAAAAAUCUACCUGGACAGAAGGGGUUCAUCUCAUACUCAUGUUUGAUGGGUUUUGAUAACACUCCUUUAACAGAACUAGGGAGAGGUGGGAAGCUGAGUUAACCUUGCAGAGGACUGGUGGGAAAGCGCUAUAAAAAAAAGUAAACUCGUCUUCUUCCUGUGCUUGACUUGGAAUAAUCCAGUUUAAGGUGCUCCAUCAGUUCAUAUGAGCAAGCCCAGACUAGCAGAGAUAUACCCUGAUUUAGACAACAAGUGUGAACAUUGCUCACAUUCUCCUGCUAACCUCACACACAUGAUCUGGUUUUCAUUCUAAUUGAUAAGCUUCUGGAUUUCCAUCUUUGAAAUGUUGUCACAUGUCAGAGCUCUUCAACUUCAACCAUCACUCCAUGUUGCUACUUUUGGAACUGUAGAAGACCCCCACUCUUAUAUCAUCCAAACACAGAUAUGAUGGAUUUCCACAACUCUUCUUUCUUUUCACAGAAUUGAGUUGGAAAUCCUCAGUCCCUCCUUCUCUAGCUGUGUGGUUCAAAUACAUUAUAUUUUUUCUUAAGUUAGAAAAUAUCAAAUUCACCUUGAGAGGAUCAACAGACAGGUUCUACUCACUCAGUAGACUAUAGGCAAUUACAUUUAGCUAGCUUCUUUAUGAUUUGACCCCCAUACCAUUCCAUGAUGUUGACCUAGACUGCCUCUAUGGCAGUAGAAAACAAACGAUUCCUUCUAAUAUGACUAGUGAGAUUACCUGAACAAUUUAUUCCCAAUCGUAUCUACUAUUUUCUCUUCUCUAUUUCAAUUUUUCUUUCCUUUAAAAAAGUUCAAAUGUAUAUUUUGUGUGUGUGUGUGUGUUCCUAAAUAUUAGAGCUUGGUGGCAGUGGAAAACAACGCCCAGGUAUGGCAUCAGGAAGGUUUGAAGUAUUGCAAAACAACUAGUGUGGCAGACCUUAGCUAGAGGUAUCUGAAAGAAUCAGAUAUUCUAAACAAAAGUAAAUCUACGCCUACCCACACCAGUGGUGGAAAAAGGAGCCAUUUGUCAUACUUGAGUAAAAGUACAGAUAUGUUAGUAGAAAAUGAUUUAGGUAAAAGUGAAAGUCACCCUGUAACAUAUUACUUGAGUAAAAGUCUAAAAGUAUUUGGUUUUAAAU
ensembl:lncRNA